GACGAACGCUGGCGGCGUGCUUAACACAUGCAAGUCGAACGGAAAGGCCCUGCUUUUGUGGGGUGCUCGAGUGGCGAACGGGUGAGUAACACGUGAGUAACCUGCCCUUGACUUUGGGAUAACUUCAGGAAACUGGGGCUAAUACCGGAUAGGAGCUCCUGCGGCAUGGUGGGGGUUGGAAAGUUUCGGCGGUUGGGGAUGGACGCGCGGCUUAUCAGCUUGUUGGUGGGGUAGUGGCUUACCAAGGCUUUGACGGGUAGCCGGCCUGAGAGGGUGACCGGCCACAUUGGGACUGAGAUACGGCGCAGACUCCUACGGGAGGCAGAAGUGGGGAAUAUUGCACAAUGGGCGGAAGCCUGAUGCAGCAACGCCGCGUGCGGGAUGACGGCCUUCGGGUUGUAAACCGCUUUCGCCUGUGACGAAGCGUGAGUGACGGUAAUGGGUAAAGAAGCACCGGCUAACUACGUG
rnacentral:rRNA from 1 species